rnacentral:lncRNA from 12 species
AUGAGAAGAAGAUUGAGAGGAACCUGGCUAGAGUUUGAUCAAGAAGAGCUUCUCUGUCAACCUUGCUGGUCUGGCCGUCUAAAGUUAACUUCUCAUAGAUGGAUGCUGUGGGCUGUGACCCAUUCAGGGCUCGGGAUGAUCCAAGGUCAACCAGCCUCCAGAGUGUCUCCCUGGUACCAGUACCAAGAUUUGCCUGGUAAUGCAGAUACAGUUCGGUAUGUGUGUAGUGGGGAGACAAGAGCUUGUGGUGGGAGAGUGAGGGGCUGCUGCUUCCCUGGCAAAGAAUAGCUUUGGGGAAAUGAAAAACAGCUGGGUAGGAAACAGCAAGGCGCUUCUAUGGACGCUUUCACUUGUUAACACAGGCCAUGCUAAGCAACAACUAGAAGGAGCCUUGGGCAUCCGUAUCUGGCCAGAGAACAAUUCUUUGUCUUUCACCAUAAAUAAGGGACCUUUUUCUAGGACUGAGAUGUAUUCUUAAAAUUUGUCUUUUGUUAGGGCUUUCAGUUGUCUUUUCUGAUUCUCUGAGGUUCUUAGGUCUUUAUAGUCCUGCAGAUUGAGGAAAAUCAUAGUUGAAAAAAAAAAAAACCCAACCCAUUUCUAGUGAUUGCAAAAUAUCUAGCUUCAGAUCCUCAAACUUUGCCUGUCUUAUGUUUUAUUCGUUUUUCAUAUGGACUAUAAUACCUUUCUUAGGGGGUCCUGGGGUUCCUGUGGCUGAUUAUAAAUGAUGUGGUCCUGACUACCAUUCUAACCCUAUGUCAUUUCCCCCAGCAUCUCAAGCCACAGGCUUGUUCGCACCUUUGUACCUCUACACCUCUUCACUUUUCUGUCUGUUCACUCCCUGACUUGCUUACAUCUCAAGCACUUCAUCCUUCAAUGGUUAUCACAGAUUGUGGUCUUCUUGGUGGGAUGUGUCUGCCUUGCCUCUCUUCACCCCUGCUGGAACUUAUCAUAGUCUCUGUUUUUUUGUUGGAAAGCUUUUCUGAAAAUUGUCCUUCUCCUGGACUAGUCUCUGAACUUCUCAAGGAUGUGGAAUAUUUAUUGCCGAAUGGAUCAACAGAUUAUUUAAAUGCAGUAUGAAUGGUAGCUGCUGUCUUUCUCUUUUUCUGCUUUUCUCCUGUCCCCAUGCUAAAGAGUCCUUAAUCCCCAGUGAAAUAAAAUGAUGUGACCACAUUCUCA